CUCCAUCGAAUCGUUCAAAAUGACCCAUCGCAUAACUUUUUCUUUUCCAAAGGAUUCGGUUGAACCGUUUUUAUUUUUCAUUUUGCUAUGUAUAGCAUGGAGAUUGAUUAAAGACGAAUUGUGGACAUGGGUUAAUGACAUAAUUCGCGUUUGGCUAGUUACGAUGUACACGGUGUUGGUCUUCUCCCUGGUGUCACGUGUUAAUGUCACAUGGACCACUGAGACCACUUAGUAAUCUUUUAAGUGAAUGUAGAGCCUAUCACCGUGUUCUAAACACCCUGACGUCAUGACGUCCUAAGUCAAAGCCCUGUCGGUGGAUUUACAUGAAAAAUAGAUGAAUAAACAAUGCUAAAGGUUUUUUUUAGAUGUUGUGUUGUUG